rnacentral:lncRNA from 1 species
ACUCCGUGGCCUCGGUACGGAGAGGUGAGCUCAGGCCACGCUACAGAGGCUAAUGAGCCGACACGCGCACACGCACGGAUACGCAACCUGAGCUGGGUGACGUAUAGUCCAUGCAACCGUACUCAGGCCCAGUUGAGAUUAACUAUUGUUAGCACAGCCCAGCGGCACAGUCGGUCUCUCCUCUCCCCUCCCGUCUCCGCCCGUCCCUCCCAGUGGCUGUGCCAGUUCUCAGUGUUUCCUCUCCUCUCCCAGUGGCUGUGCCCGUUCUCAGUGUUUCCUCUCCUCUCCCAGUGGCUGUGCCCGUUCUCAGUGUUUCCUCUCCUCUCCCAGUUCUCAGUGUUUCCUCUCCUCUCCCAGUGGCUGUGCCAGUUCUCAGUGUUUCCUCUCCUCUCCCAGUGGCUGUGCCAGUUCUCAGUGUUUCCUCUCCUCUCCCAGUGGCUGUGCCCGUUCUCAGUGUUUCCUCUCCUCUCCCAGUUCUCAGUGUUUCCUCUCCUCUCCCAGUGGCUGUGCCCGUUCUCAGUGUUUCCUCUCCUCUCCCAGUGGCUGUGCCCGUUCUCAGUGUUUCCUCUCCUCUCCCAGUGGCUGUGCCCGUUCUCAGUGUUUCCUCUCCUCUCCCAGUUCUCAGUGUUUCCUCUCCUCUCCCAGUGGCUGUGCCAGUUCUCAGUGUUUCCUCUCCUCUCCCAGUGGCUGUGCCAGUUCUCAGUGUUUCCUCUCCUCUCCCAGUUCUCAGUGUUUCCUCUCCUCUCCCAGUGGGUGUCCCAGUUCUCAGUGUUUCCUCUCCUCUCCCAGUGGGUGUGCCAGUUCUGCACCUACCUCAACUACUCGCCCUCCACCGUGUGCGAGAUGUGCGACCUGGCCCGCCCCGAGCCGGCGCCCAUGCCCGUGAAGCUCCGCCCCCCGUCGCCCGUGCGGCGCGUCCCGGCGCUGCCCGUCAAACCCAAGAACCCGCCCCCAGAGGAGCCGGAGGCGCGGCGGCAGCGUCUGCUCCAGGAGGAGGGACUCCGGCUGAUCCAGCUCAUCAGGGACGGGGAGAAGCGGGACCUGAGCCCUGAGGAGGUGUACACCGGCAUGCGGGUGGCCGGCGACACCAGCGUCCUGCCCUGUGAGUGGCUGAGGGACGAGCUCCCCCUGCUGCUGGACCACAUCUGUGAGCUGGUGGCCAACUCCGCCCCCCCGGGAAGCUCCGCCUCCAGCACCCAGCCCACCACGGAGCUCACUGUAAGUCACUCAACAGAGAUGUGUGUUUAUAUAUAUAUAUAUAUAUAUAUAUAUAUACAAGAUAUUAUAUAUUAGGGCUGGGUAAAAAUUUAGAUUCUAAAUGCACUGCAAUUUAAUUGUUCUCGAUUCAAUUUCGAUUCAGAAUUUUUUUGAAAUCGAUUAUUUCCCAAAAAAAAUGAAGCAUAGUUAUGGUAAUCUAGUAGCGAAUAUGCCUAAAUGUACAUGUCCUUUUACAUUUGUCCAUGUUAUGAUUAUUA